AGGACGAACGCUGGCGGCGUGCUUAACACAUGCAAGUCGAGCGGUGAUCCUCCUUCGGGAGGUGAUCAGCGGCGAACGGGUGAGUAACACGUGGGCAACCUGCCCCUCACACUGGGAUAACCUCGGGAAACCGGGGCUAAUACCGGAUACGACCUCGAGCGGCAUCUCUUGAGGUGGAAAGCUCCGACGGUGAGGGAUGGGCCCGCGGCCUAUCAGCUUGUUGGUGGGUAACGCCUACCAAGGCGACGACGGGUA
rnacentral:rRNA from 1 species